GAGUUUGAUCUUGGCUCAGAUUGAACGCUGGCGGCAGGCCUAACACAUGCAAGUCGAGCGGAUGACGGGAGCUUGCUCCUUGAUUCAGCGGCGGACGGGUGAGUAAUGCCUAGGAAUCUGCCUGGUAGUGGGGGGACAACGUUUCGAAAGGAACGCUAAUACCGCAUACGUCCUACGGGAGAAAGCAGGGGACCUUCGGGCCUUGCGCUAUCAGAUGAGCCUAGGUCGGAUUAGCUAGUUGGUGGGGUAAUGGCUCACCAAGGCGACGAUCCGUAACUGGUCUGAGAGGAUGAUCAGUCACACUGGAACUGAGACACGGUCCAGACUCCUACGGGAGGCAGCAGUGGGGAAUAUUGGACAAUGGGCGAAAGCCUGAUCCAGCCAUGCCGCGUGUGUGAAGAAGGUCUUCGGAUUGUAAAGCACUUUAAGUUGGGAGGAAGGGCAGUAAGUUAAUACUUGCUGUUUUGACGUUACCGACAGAAUAAGCACCGGCUAACUCUGUGCCAGCAGCCG
rnacentral:rRNA from 1 species